rnacentral:rRNA from 1 species
UAAUACAUGCAAGUCGAACGAAACUUCUUACACCGAAUGCUUGCAUUCACCGUAAGAAGUUGAGUGGCGGACGGGUGAGUAACACGUGGGUAACCUGCCUAAAAGAAGGGGAUAACACUUGGAAACAGGUGCUAAUACCGUAUAUCUCUAAGGAUCGCAUGAUUCUUAGAUGAAAGAUGGUUCUGCUAUCGCUUUUAGACGGACCCGCGGCGUAUUAACUAGUUGGUGGGGUAACGGCCUACCAAGGUGAUGAUACGUAGCCGAACUGAGAGGUUGAUCGGCCACAUUGGGACUGAGACACGGCCCAAACUCCUACGGGAGGCAGCAGUAGGGAAUCUUCCACAAUGGACGCAAGUCUGAUGGAGCAACGCCGCGUGAGUGAAGAAGGUCUUCGGAUCGUAAAACUCUGUUGUUAGAGAAGAACACGAGUGAGAGUAACUGUUCAUUCGAUGACGGUAUCUAACCAGCAAGUCACGGCUAACUACGUGCCAGCAGCCGCGGUAAUACGUAGGUGGCAAGCGUUGUCCGGAUUUAUUGGGCGUAAAGGGAACGCAGGCGGUCUUUUAAGUCUGAUGUGAAAGCCUUCGGCUUAACCGGAGUAGUGCAUUGGAAACUGGAAGACUUGAGUGCAGAAGAGGAGAGUGGAACUCCAUGUGUAGCGGUGAAAUGCGUAGAUAUAUGGAAGAACACCAGUGGCGAAAGCGGCUCUCUGGUCUGUAACUGACGCUGAG